rnacentral:rRNA from 3 species
GUUAGUGGCUACCAGUAUAUAUUUGUUAUGACUGAGUAUAUGUAUGCUUGGGCGAGAGUAGUACUAGGAUGGGUGACCUCCUGGGAAGUCCUCGUGUUGCAUUCC